GACGUAGUCGGCACAGGCCGGUUAGCCGCCGCUCCCCCGUUGCCGGUCACCCAGCAAUCAGACCCCGUCACCAGGUCGUAGUGACGACGGACGGCAUCACCAACGGCACGGCCCAGGGACUCCAGUCCAGCUUGGUGUGGGUGGUGCGCCGGCCGCCCGCGCGCGCUGCGCUCGGGUGGUUGGUUGUAGACUCGGGCUUGGAGGAGGCGCGCGAUGUAGCGGUAGCGGAGGUGGUUGGUGCGGAAAUUAUGGGAAUGCGGCGUGUCGAGGGGGCGGGCGCGACGCGACAGCGACGACACCGACACGGCGAAGGCCAGCUAGGGGCCGGGCGGUUCGGUGGAGGCGGAGGUGGUAGAGGUGGCCGCCCGCGGUACUUCGUCGGCUCCAGCGCCGUCCUCGGCGCGGCCUACCCGUUGAGGCGGUACCAGCAGUGGUACGACGAGAGGGAGACGCAGGAGUGGAAGUAGUUCCGGGCGAUGACGAGGUGGGGCAUGGGGUUGUUCGGCCGCGGCGACGACCUGGACCUCCACCUCUAGCUGCUCCUGAUGCUGUCGUCGGCCAUGUUCUAGAGGCCGGGGUAGCCCCUCCUCCUCAAGCUGGGGUCGGCGGGGUGGACGAUGUUGUGGUCGUUCGCGAGCCUCGCCACGCGGCGGCACCCGCUGUAGGCCCAGCUGCCGUUGGUGAGGUUUUAGAUGUAGUCGGGCGACCCGUUCCUCACCGCGUGGUUCGGCAUGCGCGCGGCGGUGCUGCGGCAGCGGUACCUGCUGCAGGCGCUCAAGCGUGAGGAGGGGAAGCCGCCGUCGUUGCUGUGGCAGCACGGCGGCGAGACGUGGUCCUUGGUGAGACAGGGCCGGAAGGAGAAGAGGUCGCCGCCCAAGCGCCCGUUGGACAUGGUGCUGAUGUGGCUGCACGACCACGGCGAGAAGUGGUCGUGGGUGGUGAAGCCGCCGCUCCACGUCAAGGAGGAGUGCCUGUAGUUCCUGACCACCGACCUGUUCAAGUGCGGGGAGAAGGCGGUCGAGAGGUUGAUGCUGCAGUAGCUGCAGCUGUUGCUGGUCCUCCACGUGACGAAGAGCGCGUAGCAGUAGCCGAGGUGGAAGGUGGCGGGGUACCCGUAGCUGCCGUGCGCCAGCGGCCCGCCGCUCUGGCACCGGCUGAAGUUCGCGGACGAGGCGGCGCGGAAGGCGGAGCUGGCGCACCACCGCAGCGUGCUGCCCAGCCGGUCGGAGCCGUUCGGCGCUGAGGAGUAGUAGAGGGCGUUCAGCAGGGCCGCCAAGGACUUACUCGCGCGGUACCGCGUGCGGCGGCGCGACCGCGUCAAGCUGCACGCGUAGCGCCUCGGCCUGUUGGUGUGCCUGUACGGGUUGAAGCGCGCCGACCACUUGAGCCGCCUGCACUACUACCCCCACGUGCCGCGGCCCGACUGGUUGUACCACAAGGAGGGCUCGGCGCGGCACGACGACGUCCACCACGGCAAGCCGCCCGACCUCACCGACAGGGCCCACUGGAAGUUCCUGGGCCGGUUCCUGAAGCUGCACUGCAUGUACCUCAUGUUGCACAGCGACCUCCUCUCGAGCGAGUUCCUGGAGAUGGGGUUCCUGGUAAAGAUGGACUUCGUGGGGAUGCUGCACGUGUUCUUCCCGACCUUGCGGUAGUUCUGGUGGAUGGAGCUGUUCGUCUCGCAGUCCGAGCUGGAGCGGUUCGACUGCGCGUGCGACCUCGUGCGCGCGUCGGAGGACGGGAGGAGUGCGACUGUGACUCGAGAUGAACGUGGACGUUCAAGUCAAAGAGGUACGAUCUAAUCCUCCUCUGCUUGUUCAAGCACAGUUCGUAUCCGUUGUUCACGGGUUUCACAAUUAAAUGUGAGACAUUUAAGCUAACUAACAGGGUCGUCGGUCGUGUGUGAACGUCUCUUUUUACAUUAAUAAACGGGUGUACCCCUCAUACACUAGGUAGUGAAAUGACGAGAUGGUGGUAGUCUCUGUCCCGUACACUUGUUAACUCACACUACGAAAAGACCAGGGUAUGAACAACGUUGUACGCACGGGGGAGUAAG
rnacentral:rRNA from 1 species